AUUGACGGAGAUGGCGGCCUUCCAGUCUUGUAGCUCAUUUAAAUCAGCCGUUAGGGAAUCUUCAGUGAUUUGCAUGAGAUCAGGAGAUGUAUCUGAUUUCCCAAGAAUCAUGGGAGACUUCCUGAUUUGACUAUGUGAUGUUGAUCUUCUCCUUGUGUGCCAACGGCUUCUCUUAAUGAAUAUUUCCUUCCUUGUUUAAUGUUUCAAUCUUGCUUCCUUGAUUUAGUGAGAUGGUAGAUUGUCUUUUAUCCUUGCUUCGCUUGCCGUUUAUCCAUGCUUUAGUGAUUCUGCUUUCCUCCUUGAAUAUCUGUACAUGUAUAUUAAUUGCAUCAUUAAAAUCUAAUCUAACAAUCUCCCCCUUUUUGAUGAUGGCAAAAUUAAUAUACUGGAAUAAACAACAGUUGACUUCCUUGUUUAUAUUCAGUUGAGUAGCAGGAUUGCUCCCCCUCAAUGUAUGGUCAACUGGACGUUAUCUCCCCCUGUGUAUGUGCUGUCGAUGUGUUCUCCCCCUCAUUAGGUGCAGUCGACUGGUACUUGUAAAGAAAUAUCGAAUAGUUGUCUGGAAAAUAGGUGCAUACGCUAGUCGACUUGCCUUUUCAGUAGCCGACUUGACUUUUCAGUUUGUACUAUGCCAUAGCAUAGUCAGAUAAUACUUAGUCGACAUAUUAUAUAUUUCUCCCCCUUUUUGACAUUAUCAAAAGAGGGAUCAGUAACAAAACUAAUAACCAAAAGAUUAUCCACGGGCAGAGCCCAAACACAACCAAAAAGCUAGAAACAAACAAACAAAAAAUUGUCUUAAAGCCACAAUCAACCACAACGCAGAAAAUAAGUCAGAGUAUUGCAAAUAGCCUCCUUCAUCUAAUCAAAGCUAGUGUUGGCAGCAACAUUCAUUCCAUCCAGUCUGUCAUGCACCUCUUUGAACUUUUUGAUCGCAUUCGCUCUUACCCUUUCACAACCACCCUGAUUUUGGAGACAUUAGACCCUGUUUCCUUGGAAAAAGCAUGAAUAGAAUCCAUAGUCGACUUGAUGUCAGAGAGUUGAGACUCAACAGAGCGCACCCUAUCACUGAGAUCUGAGGGAAUAGGCGCGGAUAGAGAGGCAUGAGUUGGCUUGAUUUCCUCAGGAGUGGAUUUGGCCUCACAUUCUCC
rnacentral:lncRNA from 1 species